rnacentral:rRNA from 1 species
AUUGAACGCUGGCGGCAGGCCUAACACAUGCCAGUCGAGCGGAUGAAGGGAGCUUGCUCCUGGAUUCAGCGGCGGACGGGUGAGUAAUGCCUAGGAAUCUGCCUGGUAGUGGGGGAUAACGUCCGGAAACGGGCGCUAAUACCGCAUACGUCCUGAGGGAGAAAGUGGGGGAUCUUCGGACCUCACGCUAUCAGAUGAGCCUAGGUCGGAUUAGCUAGUUGGUGGGGUAAAGGCCUACCAAGGCGACGAUCCGUAACUGGUCUGAGAGGAUGAUCAGUCACACUGGAACUGAGACACGGUCCAGACUCCUACGGGAGGCAGCAGUGGGGAAUAUUGGACAAUGGGCGAAAGCCUGAUCCAGCCAUGCCGCGUGUGUGAAGAAGGUCUUCGGAUUGUAAAGCACUUUAAGUUGGGAGGAAGGGCAGUCAGUUAAUACCUUGCUGUUUUGACGUUACCAACAGAAUAAGCACCGGCUAACUUCGUG